rnacentral:rRNA from 1 species
CAAUAGCGUAUAUUAAAGUUGUUGCAGUUAAAAAGCUCGUAGUUGGAUUUCUGGUAGGAGUGACCGUUCCGAACUUGAUUGUUCGUGUAUUGUGUUUUCUCCGGCCAUCCUUGUGGAGAACUUUUCUUGCAUUAAUUUGUAGGGAUUGGGACCCGCAUCGUUUACUGUGAAAAAAUUAGAGUGUUUAAAGCAGGCAAUCGCUUGAAUACAUUAGCAUGGAAUAAUAAGAUAGGACUUUGGUACUAUUUUGUUGGUUUGCAUACCAAAUUAAUGAUCAACAGGAACAGUUUGAGGAUAUUCGUAUGAACAUGUCAGAGGUGAAAUUCUUGGAUUUUGAUCAGACGAACUACUGCGAAAGCAUUUAUCAAGGAUGUUUUCAUUAA